rnacentral:rRNA from 1 species
GUAGGUGGCAAGCGUUGUCCGGAAUUAUUGGGCGUAAAGCGCGCGCAGGCGGUUCUUUAAGUCUGAUGUGAAAGCCCACGGGCUCAACCGUGGAGGGUCAUUGGAAACUGGAGAACUUGAGUACAGAAGAGGAAAGCGGAAUUCCACGUGUAGCGGUGAAAUGCGUAGAGAUGUGGAGGAACACCAGUGGCGAAGGCGGCUUUCUGGUCUGUAACUGACGCUGAGGCGCGAAAGCGUGGGGAGCAAACAGGAUUAGAUACCCUGGUAGUCCACGCCGUAAACGAUGAGUGCUAAGUGUUAGGGGGUUUCCGCCCCUUAGUGCUGCAGCUAACGCAUUAAGCACUCCGCCUGGGGAGUACGGCCCAAAGGCUG